GGCGGCGUUCGCGUCAGCGCGCAUCACCCCAUGGGGGGGCUGACGUGGAAACUUUCACCACGGGGGAGCGCACGGCGGCCCAUCCAGGGCCGUUCUCAGCCGUUCGCCUGGGCAGCCCUU
rnacentral:ncRNA from 16 species